GGCUCAGAGAGCCUCUCGGCUUCAGACCAUGGAGGGUGUCGCAUUGAGAUGGAGAGCUGCAACAGUUGUGCUGCAAGGACUGCUGGCGAUGACCUUUCUUAUUUCAGGAAUUUCUGCCUUGAAGUGUCAUAGCUCCAGCACCGUGAAACAUACCACUCCACGCAAGGGCAACACCACGUCAAAUACUUACACAGGAGGUGGCAUUAGAAACUGCUCCCAUGCUGAAAAUGUUUGCACAGAUGCACAACUUACAUUGACUAUUGAUAAAGAGGUUUUGAUAAAAGCUACAAAGGCUGCACCAGCAAAGACCUUAUGGAUGAAACAAAAUCAAUCACCUCUGGUGACCGACACUUUGCCAUCCAGUUCGACCAGAGCUACUGUUUCCGUGACCUUUGCAAUGCGAAAACGAGGGUAGUUUCCAAGACCCCUAUCAAGGACAAAGUAACAGGCUCCAACCAGUGUUACUCGGGCUUUGGUUGGGGCACCAGUGGAAGCAUCAAGGAGACUAUGGAAUGCGGCAAAGACUACGACCGGUGUUACCAAGGCAGCAUGAACAUUACUGUUGAAAUAGAUGG